GGGAGACGUUGCAGACUUAAUCAGAUCCUGCUCGUUCGAAGUUGAUCCUGGCUUUACCGUUGGUCUUAGAAUGUCGAGUUGGUCGGAGAAGAAGAGCUCAGGUCGAUCAGUUUGGUCGUCUGGUCGAGGAUCUAGCCGAAGCUCCAUUUUGGACGUACGCGGGUUGAUCCGGUACACAGCUUGGUCAGUCUGUACGGUAUGGUCGGAAGAGUGAACCUCGGUUGAAAUGUUCGGGACGUCCUGAUCUGCAUGCUGGUCUGGUUCCACGGACUGAUCCACAGAC
rnacentral:lncRNA from 1 species